rnacentral:tRNA from 1 species
GUCCCCGUAGUUCAACGGAUAGAAUAGAGGUUUCCUAAAUCUUUGAUGUGGGUUCGAUUCCCGCCGGGGACA